UUGGUUUUCACAGUUUUUCCAAUGGUUGUACAAACUGUUGCCAACUCGCGAGAGGGAGCUUAUUCGAGAAAGUGGUUUUCAGUUUGGAUUGUAGGCUUCAACUUGCCUACAUGAAGCCGGAAUCGCUAGUAAUCGCGGAUCAGCAUGCCGCGGUGAAUACGUUCCCGGGCCUUGUACACACCGCCCGUCACACCACGAGAGUUUGUAACACCCGAAGUCGGUGAGGUAACCCGGAGCCAGCCGCCGAAGGUG
rnacentral:rRNA from 1 species